GUUAAAUCUUAUGAAUGCACGUUUGCUUUAGGAGAACGUUUCUUAUUGAGGCAGUAAACUACAAGCGUGUAUGCCUGUGAAAAAGAACUUGCUUUUUCAAAUUAAAUUUUGUUUUCUUUGAUGCUUGUCUUUAUCUAUUUUACUCUGCUACUAAUAACUGAAAGAACUGAAAAAAUAAUGUAUUUCUGAAAGUCACUUGCACCCAGAAAAGAUGAUACCUCGUGUAUUUUUAUUUAAAGGAUUGGUGGAACUGUACUUCCUAUACAAAAUUUUACCGAUCUUUGAAUAUACUUGUACAUGAUUGGCUGUACUCCUACAUCUAUUGUGAUAUGUACGCUAUUUUGAAAAGCAGAACUGUUGCUAUGUUGUCAGUUUUUAUGCUAUCUGCAAUUGUUCACGAAUAUAUCGUAGCCAUUUCUCUCAGAUUUAUAUUCCCUCCUUUAUUCACAUUAUUUUACAUAGCUGGUAUUAUAUUCAUUUUUAUGACUCGAAGAAGAACCUCAAACUUCUGGAACUUUUUCCUUUGGUUUACUUUGUUGCUAGGAUAUGGACUUUUACUAGUUUUCUACUCUUUGGAAAUGUCUGCCAGGAUCAACUGCCCGAGGAUUUUAGUAGGUUUUUCCUCCUUUAAUUUAGUUUUACUUCCUACACACGAAGUAUAGAAAGAGAAAAUAUUAUACACGUCAAAAAAUUGCAAGUCGAGACUUCGUUGAAACUCAACGUUUCAGAACUGCCUGAAUCCGAAAAACACGUUUCUGGAAGUAUACUUGUCUGUCUGUGAACACGAUAACUAAAAAAUGGUUUGAGCUAGCCGAGCGAAAUUUGUUGUAUGGUUUUUACAACAAAUUUGAAGAUUUCUGUCAAAGUUUGAACAAGAUCAUUUCAAACGAAGGUCUGUCCCUUCAAUUGUUCCAGUAUAUCUUAACACGAUAAAUAUCAAACAAA